GCAGGAGUUGCCAAGCCUGGUCUAAGCAUUGUUUGGUAUAUAGAACAAGCGGCUAUCGGCGCUAGAUUGAGGUUCUAGUGACAUAGGUCUUCGUGGGUUCGAAUAAUGAUAACGGAUCAUAUCGAUCUCUUUCGAAUAUCCCACCUCCUGCA
rnacentral:tRNA from 1 species